ACAAGCGGUGGAGCAGUGUGGUUUAAUUCGAAGCAACGCGAAGAACCUUACCAGGUCUUGACAUCCCCUGACAACCCAAGAGAUUGGGCGUUCCCCUUCGGGGGGACGAGGGUGACAGGUGGUGCAUGGUUGUCGUCAGCUCGUGUCGUGAGAUGUUGGGUUAAGUCCCGCAACGAGCGCAACCCUCGCCUCUAGUUGCCAGCAUUCGGUUGGGCACUCUAGAGGGACUGCCGGCGACAAGUCGGAGGAAGUGGGGAUGACGUCAAAUCAUCAUGCCCCUUAUGACCUGGGCUACACACGUGCUACAAUGGGCGGUACAAAGGGCUGCGAACCCGCGAGGGGGAGCGAAUCCCAAAAAGCCGCUCUCAGUUCGGAUUGCAGGCUGCAACUCGCCUGCAUGAAGCCGGAAUCGCUAGUAAUCGCGGAUCAGCAUGCCGCGGUGAAUACGUUCCCGGGCCUU
rnacentral:rRNA from 1 species